AGCCUCAGCGUCCUGCCCUCGCACACACCCGCCUGCGGCCACCGCACAGCCCCAGCCUGUCUUCGGUCCUGUUCCAAGGGGAAGCGACCAUGUCCGACGCGGAGGAGGUGGUGGAGGAGUACGAAGAGGAGCAGGAAGGUAAGCGCUGCGCAGCGGCCCUCGGGAGGAGCCUGGUCCAGCCUGAGCCUGACCCUCAACUGUCCCCUCCUGCGUCCUGACCUUUCUCCUCUGAGCAGAAGC